rnacentral:rRNA from 1 species
CCCAAAGAGAUCGGGAUAACACCUGGAAACAGAUGCUAAUACCGGAUAACAACAGAUAGAUGUCCUAUCAACUGUUUAAAAGAUGGGUUCUGCUAUCACUCUUGGAUGGACCUGCGGUGCAUUAGCUAGUUGGUAGGGUAACGGCUACCAAGGCGAUGAUGCAUAGCCCGAGUUGAGAGACUGAUCGGCCACAUUGGGACUGAGACACGGCCCAAACUCCUACGGGAGGCAGCAGUAGGGAAUCUUCCACAAUGGACGCAAGUCUGAUGGAGCAACGCCGCGUGAGUGAAGAAGGGUUUCGGCUCGUAAAGCUCUGUUGUUGGUGAAGAAGGACAGGGGGUAGUAACUGACCUUUGUUUGACGGUAAUCAAUUAGAAAGUCACGGCUAACUACGUGCCAGCAGCCGCGGUAAAU